GCUGUGCAGCGCUGGCACCGAGCGUUCCUCCAGAUGAGAACUGACACGGGGUUCAGGGGUUAAUUUCUGGAACAGACGCAUUUGCAUACAAAUGAAAAAUGAUGGAAUUUCUGUUCUCCUAAAUUUUCAAUGUCAUCAGCAUCAAACAGCAGUCAGUGCUCCCUUGCUGUUUGAAGAAUAUUCAUUACUUCAGAAGAAGGGGCACCUUGUUUGGUAUUAAUCUCCUCUUCAGGUCAAUGACUUAAUUUGCUCAACUCCAUCUGAAGUGCCACUCACUUUCUGAUUUCUGCGCUGUUCUUUGUUAUUUUUCGUAACGUGUUCUUAAUACUUUUAUUAUUAUUAUUUGUAAGGGGAUACACUUCUCCUGCAAAUAUGAGCAGGAGGCAGGGCUGCCUUUCAUUAUGGGUUUCCAACCAAAGUGCUCAGCACCAGCCUGUAUCAUUUGUAGCAUGUUUUGGUGACUGCUACUCUUGAAAGUCAUGUAUUUUUGCAGAUAGAUUUUCCAGUUUCACACUGGAAUAGGAAAACAAACAUUUUUUUUCUUUUGAAACUGAUGCCCAAAGGGACAUUGUGCAACAAGAUUGCAGGGUGUUGUGCCUCUCCAAAAGGUGAGACGCUGCAAAGCAAUUAACUCCCCCCUCCACCCCCCCCCCAAAAAAAUAAUAACAUUUCCUUAGUCACUGCUUCUGGAUCUUCUUACCUGAGGCCUCAUAGAAAGAUCUUGGUGCCCACUCCCAUUUCCCCACUGUCCCCUUAGUGCUGUCAUGGGGCCUGAGGAAAGGUCCCAUUUCCCCCAUUCUGCCCUUCUUGGUUAUGAUUCUUCCCCCUGAAUGGGAUUAUUCAGGGAUCUUUAGAUCCUGGAGGCUUGGGGGUCAGCCCAGGCUGCACCAAGUGGUCCCCCGGGUGCACCAUGGGGUUUACCCCGAGCCCUCUCUUUUUACAUGGCUUUCUGUCUGGAUUUAUUCCUGAUCCUGAAGAUAGUAAUUUGUUAGGAGGCUGGAGAGAAGCUGUGAAGUGCUUUCUAGUUUUCUUCUCUAAUUAUUAAUAUUAUUUUUUACAUAUCUAUUUCCAAAACGGUAACAUUGCCCAUUUGGAAUGAAUUGUGGAAUCAUAAAACCAUGAAGGUUGGAGAAGCCCUCUAGAGUCCCCAAGUCCAACUGCAUCCCACCCUUACCGUGCCCACUGACCAUGUCUCUCAUCCCCACAGAUCUGGAACACCUCCAGGGACUGUGACCCCCCCACUGCUCCCUGGGCAGCCUGUGCCAAUGCAUCACACUUAUUUCCAAGAAGAAAUCUUUCCUGGCUGUGUAGAAUUUAUAGCCAUGCAGUACUUUUAUACAGUGCAUUACAGAACUGACAGGAGCCUUGGGCAGUCGAAACAUAAAAAUAACGUGCAACUGCUGGAGGAGAGAGCUCCCUUCCUACCUGCAGCAUUAAGUUAAGAAUGUCUAAGGACUGAUCCUCAGCCCCAGCCAAGCUGGAUUUAACAUAGGUCACCCCGAGGUGGGGCGAGGGGGCUUUGUGUCAUUUUUAGACACCCUGAUCCUGGGGGGCUCACAGGUUGGGCUGGCAGGGCUGGCCCUGUGCCGCAGGGCAGGUUGGGGAUGAGGGGAUAAGCCAGCUUUGUGCAGAGCUCAUUUGGGAGCCCGUUAUCCGAGCAGAGCAUUCUCAGCAGAGGAAACUUCUAUGGAUAAAGUUGGUAAAAGCUGCCCCUAGUCCAGUUCUGCUUCCUGUACGCAGGAAAACAGUGGUGAAAAUGGGACUUGCGUGCAUGGUUUCAAAGUGGAAGCUCAGGCUGCUGGCUGAGGAACUGGGUGGUAACCACAUCUGCCCAUCUGGUUCUAUGAAUAUUGAUGGUAAAGUCAGGAGAAGAGGCUUGUCAUCAUGUUGGGAUCUGGCACUGCUGCUCAGGGCAGGCACUUGUGCCACUGUGCGGUGUCCAUGUGCCGGGAUGGGCCUCCUCUGCCAGCUGAGGAUCUGUCCCUCAAUGAGAAAAGUUGAGAUACCCAUUGUGGAAUCAGUUUGGCCACGUUAGCGAUACGUUGCUCUAGAAACAUGUCUAUGAAUAUGCUAAUGUUUAUUUUGCCAAGCAGAGCUGCCAGGAUGUGCCAUGUGGCUGAGUUAGUGUUACUUUAAGAAUUCUUUUUUUUUUUUUUUUUUUGCCUUUUCAGACUUUUGAGCUUCUAAACUUGUAAACACAAUGUUUUGUUGGCUCGUGUUUCUGGGGAUUUUAUGCAUACAGCUGACUUUUAUCUUCACUUUUUGCAUCACCUUAAUAUUGUCGGAGCGAAAGCACUCAUCUGUUUAUGAUAAGUUUAUCAGAAAUACUCCAAAGUUUUCUGCCACUGAGAUAUUAUAUUCUUAGGGUGGUUUGCUACGGGGUAAUUCUGAGACAACAAACAGAAUAUUUCAAAGCCCAGAUGCCCCGUUUAGACAAGGGGGUUUAUAUUGAUUAGAAUCUGCUUUCACCUAACAUCGUGGCGUAAAUAUCACAAAGAUGUAAUUAAAAAACUCGGUACAAUAUUGAGUCCCAGUCCCCCUGUGCCAGAAUUGUUUGAGUGCUGCGGAACUGGAGCUUGUUUGCAUCCCAGUGUGUUGUGAAAUGCAAACUUCAAAGAAAAUAUUAUAUCUCCCAACUCCAGCUCGUGAGAGCCUUGGAAGUAUAAUACAGAACGGCUUAGCGAUCCCUGCUGAGGAAAGGGCAAGCUGACACUGAGACGGCUGCUGGAGCGCUGCAGAAACACUGAUUGUCAAUGUCUGAAUUUCAUCACAAUCUGUUCGGCUGUUUGUUGCAGGCAGGCGUAAAACAGAGCGGGUGUAGGACAGCACAGGUUCCACAACACCUACUGCACAGACCUGGCUGGUGAUGACAUUGUAAGAGGCUGCCAGGUUGGUUGAGCAUGAUUUUCCCCUUGGUGAAUCCAUGUUGACUACUGAUAACCUCCUUCACUGGGUUAUAUCCUGGGCUGCUUGUGGGCAGCACUCCCUUCUGCAUCAUCAUCCUCACCCCUGAGUCACAUGAAGGACAAGAAUAGUGGCUCAAAUAAGUGCUUCUCAGCACAGCUUUCCCCAAAAGCUGCAUUAAAAGGUGAGUCCUUAUUUCUGAACUCAGCUUGGAAAUAAUUGCAAUUCCACAGUAAUGUUGUGUUGCUCAUAACCAGGUGCUAAAUGUGAAGAGCUGCAGGGUCUGGUUUUGGAGGGCAGAUGGCAAAGCAAAGGUGCAGCAAAGUGGAGGUGACUCCUUUCUCUGCACGCUGGCACCGGGCACACAAGAGAGAGGAAGCAAACUACUGACUGGGGUUUUUUUAGAUGUGACAUUUCAGUGAUGUACCAACAGAGGAAAUUUUGCUUGCAGAAUCCUGUGAGCAAAACACUUCUGAGAAUGUAUGUAUACAAUUGUUUAAAAAAACACAGGGUUACUGACACAGAUGCCAAUUUGGUAGGGCAUAUGGAACAUUUACACUUGCCUUUUUCAUUCUUUCUUGCUACAGCUGGUACUGAUUUAGUAUGUGAAAUUUUACUAGCAGGAGUGCUAAUCAAGACAGAGAUUUCUGUGAGGAUUUAGUCAUUUAUGUGGAGGAAAACUAUGGGUGUCAUUAAAAAGUACAAGAUCAUCUAUGAGAGAAGCAUUAUCAUUAGCAACCUAAUUUUUAAAGCAAACAGGGAAAGAAAAAAAAAAAGUACUGUAUCUCUUGAACAGCAGCAGCAGAAAAUUAUUUUCUAAGAGUCAUGCCUCUCAUCAAAGUCUGGGCAAGGAAAUUUUAAAUUUACUUAAAAAAAAAAAAAAAAGAAAAGCCAACAGCAAAGGUUGCUCCAAGUGACUUUGUUAGCAGUGUGCUGGCCUGCUCUGUAAUAUCAAAUGGAUGUGGCUCAGACUGGGAUUACAUAAAAAGAGCCCAUCCAGGUUCUGGAUCUGUGUUUGAAGCCGAAGCCUCUACUCAAACCAACUCUGCAAUGGCUCUGCAUGUCACCACCACAGCCAUUGGGACGGGUCCAGCAGCAUCCCACACCUACCUGGCAGAGUUUGUGGUAGUUCCCUGGUUGUUUUUUCUUGUUCUUUCUUUUUUUUUUUUUUUUUCUUUUUAAGAAAUUGCAAUCUGGAACUUGAAUGGAGGCAUUCAGACCUCAAGUGGCAGUUCUGGCCAAUUUCUGAUGUUGACAAGAAAUACUAUAUUCCAUUAAGAAGGCAAUGAGCGUGCAUUACGUAUCCAGAGAGGCGAUUUUACAUUACACACAGCGUAAAAAAUUAUGCUCUGGUUUAACUACCAUUUCCUGCCAAGAUUAUUCCUGUGCAAACAGCAACAGAACAACUGCAGUAUGGUAAAUAUGUUGUACAGGUGGCUCAGUGAUGGGGGGACCUGAGCAAUAAUGCCGACAUCUGUGGCCGGAGGUGGCCGGGUGGCAGCAGUGUGGUCCCUGUGGAUGGCAGCCAGCUGCCCAUACCUCCAGCAUUGCUUCCAUGCAGAGAAGGAUGAGGAGCUCUGGAGUGAGCUCUGUGCCCUUCUCAUGGUACUUUCUCACCUGGGUUGGGCUCUAGGGUGGAAAUGCACUGGGAGGAGGAUAUGGGUUUCCUGGAUGUCGUAAGUGGCACUCUGCAGUGCCUGAACAUUUGCCAGGAAAUAUGCCUCGUAAAUAAAUAAAAGCUGGAAUUCACCUCAACUCCUCACUCCUCAACUUGAUAUUGAGUAACCUGAAUGUCUUUGCAUGAUGCCUUCUUUGGCAUGGCCAGCACUGCUUCUGGAAACAUGAUAAUAGCAAGCAGGGCGUGGAGAACAAAGCCAAGACAUUUGCAUUUGUUCCUCCCUUGCUGAGAGAGACUGCAAAUUGUUAGGUAGACUUCCAAGUAACUGCUGGAUGGGAGCAGUCUGGUUUGAUGCUUGCAGGUUGUGGUGCUCUCAUGGCACUGCCUUCUUAAGCACUACAUGGCCUUCUCUUAUACUUUGGGAUCUACUGGGGCUCAAACUUUCCAAGAAGUCCCAGUAAAUCUGGCAUUGAGUCCUUGUUUUACUUCUAUAACCUAUUUUUUCGGCAGCUGAGAUGCAAAGCUUCCUGUUUACUGCCAUUUUCCAAUAUUGCAUCUAAGUAAAAGAAAAGCCAGAGAAUUUUGUAGAGUUAUAUGGCUCCUGCAUAUGGCAGCGGCAAUUUUUGCUUAAAAUUGGGCUUUUCCCGAAGUAAAUGUACCACUGAGCACAACCAACCAUCUCCUAAAAUGGCCAUCAAGCUGAUUAGCUCCAACCAUUGAAAAAAUAGGGGAGAAGGUGAGCUGAUGUGUGAAUGUUGCUGCAUGCUCCAGGUAGAAGUGCUUGCAUGAUUGCGAAAGUGAUGCAGAGGCAUUAUCAGCUCUGUGGAUAGAAGGAAGGGGUCACCUUUCAGUGUGGGCAUCCUGGUGCUGAUGCUCGUAGUGGUGGGACUCCUUUCUCCAGACACCUCCAGCUUUUGACUUCUGUUGUUACAACUGUCCAAACUUUUUCCAGAUUCUGACACUGGGUCAGAGCAGAAAUAUCGUAGGACUUGUCUCUGCCUGCCAGAAAGAAAAGAGACCAAAUUGCAAGGCUGAAUUUACUCUCGUUAUUCAUUAAGGUGGUUGCAUCAGCAGAAAAGGCUCAGUGCAGCAAUCUGAAGUCUUAGACAGUUUGUGAUGUUUAAACAUCUUAAGCACUGUUGAGCAUUUUCUUUACAUCUCUUGAUAUGGCACGGUGGUUUUAUUUAAGCAAUCCCGAAAAUCGUGGCCAGCUGCACCAUCUGCCAGCGACGAUGCAGGAUGGGUGCCUCCAGCAUGUCAGCGCUCAGAUGUCAUUUAAAAGGGAAAUGCUGUCUGAGCUGGGAAGGGGCCGAGACAAAGAGCUGGGCAGGCAGCAGGCUGUGCAAAGUGGGAAGAAGAAUGGAUACCUUUUUUCUGGCCUGACCCGAACAUCUGAGUUCUUUCCCUUGGGGUUUCUCACCCCCCAAAUGUUCUUUUUUGUUGUUGUUGUUGUGGGUUUUUUUUUUUUUAAUUUCCCUUGUUGCUCGUAGCUUUUUUCCCUUUUAGGAGUUGCUUGAUGUGGAACAGGUGGCUUGUGGUGCAGGUCACUGGCCAUGAAUGCUGCGUGCAGGGCUGAUGCUGGCAUUUAAAGGUCAGUCCUUGCCACUGCUCGGCACCUUCCUGGCAGCAGGUGACCCAUGGGCCCCUCUCACCCUAUGAAGAAGCCCCACCGCACCUUUGGGAAGCUGUUUGCAGCAGGACGAGGCGCGAUCACAGCUUGGCUGAAGGGUGUCACAUUCCCCAUGCUGCAGACACGAGGACCAGCGGUGGAAUAUUCGAUUACAUGUCAGUCACAGCACAUUAGGCAAUCUUCCAGUCUGCCAGCUUUGCCCUUCCUGGCUCUGAGCAAAGUGUCAUUGGGAAAGAAGUGGCACAGCGAGGCAAAGAGGUGAUGCUAGGGAGCUUCUGUCCCCAUCAGAAAUGUCCCAUAGGAGCCCUUCAGUGGGGCUACAGAUAGGGCAUGGUGGUUUAUGCCUGGGGAAUGUGAAUGCAAACCAGUACUGCUUACCUUUAUCCAUAGCUCUUAAGGUAUAUAUGUGUGUAAAAGCAGGAGAUGAUGCAGUGAGAAACUGGGAAACUGCCAUUCCAGUGGUAGUACCAGAAAUACUCUGCUCUUUCAAACACAGUGUCUAUAAAAACAUGUUGCUCUGACCGAGCAUUUUCCGGGCUGUUUUGCUUGCAAAUUACUUAACGAAAAUACAUUAGAAGUGGAAGUUAAGAGCUGUGGACAAUUUCCCGCUUUGUAUAAGCCAGAAAAAUCCCAUCUCAGCUCCAAGAAGGAAACUACUUUCCAAAAUGUCAGCUCAUGCAGAAAGUCCCAGUUCAGCUGGAACGAGCCGCUCCGUUUGCGCUCGGUGGUUUCUGGAACAACAAAAAGCCGUGUAUGUCCGUGCUGGGAAGCACAGGCACUGAAGGAUAAUGUGGGUAGAUUAUUCCCGUUGGCACCAGGGGCUUAUUAUGGCUUUUGUUAAGCAUCCUCCACCCAUUAGCCACAGCCACAGGAGAAGGGAAUGGUGGUGUUCCCGUUUCGCUUCUUCUGCUUCUGCAGUUGAGCUGCACCUCCUGUUCGGAGACUUUCAAAGUGAAUUUUAAAUCAAAGGAGACAACACUGCUGUUACUGGUUGGGACGUCCAUAAGAAGAACUUCAGCUUUGUCUACUUUGAUUUCAGAUUCACUUUGAUUGUUUUUCUGACAGGAGGUGCAGGCAUCACAAGGCUCUCAGUAGCACCAUCGCCAUUAGCUUCUCGAGUGAUCAUCGCUAUUUAGCUGGAGAGACAAUAAGAGUGGGGUGGGUGUCAAUGGAAAUAACCUUUUCGAUGCUUCUAAAGCUUCAAACCUGUCCUCAGGCUCCCAGGCUCCUAGAAAUACUUAGAGGAAGAGACUGCCUGUGGAGUGGGGAGUAUGGGGUGAUGGAUGAAACAAUAAAAAUGACACUAUGGUAAAAGCGAGCACAGGACACUGCUGUUUGCAAUGCUUUGUGCGUGUGGUUGAUGUCAGAACCAAUACUGUGCUGGGGCUGCAGCAUGAGACCCACACGUGGCAGGAUGGCUGGACCAUGGCUGGUGAGCCCAGGAAGGUGAGUGAGGCCAUGAGGACCAAGGGCAGCCCUCAGCAGUAAGGUGCGGUGGGAAGGGAAUGAGUCCAUUUGGGGUAGCACCCAGGAAAAGUACUGUUUCCCCCCUCUAUCACCCUCUCCUCCUUGACCAUGUUUGAAAAGGGCAUUUCAGUGCCGACGGCAGUGUUGUUGCAGACAGAAGGACCCGGCUGAGAGCAGCCGGUGAUGUGUGCCUUACUUUUAAAAAGAAAGAUGUGUCUUGACAGCUUGCCAAAUACCACAUCUGCCUCUCUUUGCACCUCUGCGGGUGAAGCUGUACAGCAAGGUGGUGAAGACGGGCAGACCUAUCAAUUAACUGUGUGAGGGCCGCUCUCCCCUUUGCUGCCCAGCAGCUGUAGGCAAUGCUGAAAGAACAACCUCCCUGAUGUACAUCUGGAACACCUGUGAGAGAUGCACAGCUGGGACUUCCCUGCAGUGACUGAGGAGCACCACACAAUGCCAGCUCAGAAGGACUGGGAGAAGGGAGGCAUUCACAGUGAGUGCUUUAAUAUAUUUUUAUUAUUGCUUUUCCUCUCUUUCACUGGUGUUUUUCUUCCAUCCUGGUGGACCUGUGUUGGGGAGUGCUAACGAGGCCAUGCAAUGCUUUUUGAGUUGGUUGUUUCUCCAGGUGCCAAAAUUCUAUGCUGCGAGUCAAGGCAAGUCUGUCUCGGUUUAUCUGAGUAGGCCUAACGAUUUUGGGGUUGUAUCUCUGUUGCUCUAUUUUUAAUUGCUGGUCACAAUAACAUUAAAUAAUUGCUUGAUGGUCUGCAGGUUUCAU